AUUCACAGUAGGAGGAGCUUUGCACGCCAAAAAAAAGAAAAUAAGAUCAUUCACAGUAUGAGGAACAAACAGCCAAAAAAACAGAGGUAGUUGAUCUAAAAGAAUUAAUACAGGGACUGAAAAUCACCAUUUGAAAGACCCUCUGCUUGCAUGCCAUCUGCUGCAGCAUCAUCUUGAUCUCCAUCUGCUCCUUGGCCAUCGGCAGCAGGUACUUGCACUCCUUAAGUUCGUCCAUACACAUGCACAAAAAAAAAUCAGAUCAUGCAC
rnacentral:lncRNA from 1 species